rnacentral:rRNA from 1 species
GAUCAUGGCUCAGGACGAACGCUGGCGGCGUGCUUAACACAUGCAAGUCGAGCGGAAAGGCCCUUUCGGGGGUACUCGAGCGGCGAACGGGUGAGUAACACGUGAGUAAUCUGCCCUUGGCUUUGGGAUAACUACCGGAAACGGUGGCUAAUACCGGAUAUGACCAUGCUCGGCAUCGGGUGUGGUGGAAAGUUUUUUCGGCCAGGGAUGUGCUCGCGGCCUAUCAGCUUGUUGGUGGGGUAAUGGCCUACCAAGGCUUCAACGGGUAGCCGGCCUGAGAGGGUGACCGGCCACACUGGGACUGAGACACGGCCCAGACUCCUACGGGAGGCAGCAGUGGGGAAUAUUGGACAAUGGGCGGAAGCCUGAUCCAGCAACGCCGCGUGAGGGAUGACGGCCUUCGGGUUGUAAACCUCUUUCAGUACCGACGAAGCGCCGAUGAUGGUGGUGACGGUAGGUACAGAAGAAGCACCGGCCGACUACGUG